rnacentral:rRNA from 1 species
GGGCCCGCACAAGCGGUGGAGUAUGUGGUUUAAUUCGAUGCAACGCGAAGAACCUUACCAGGGUUUAAAUGCAGAACGACAGGGGUGGAAACACCCCUUCUUCGGACGGACUGCAAGGUGCUGCAUGGUUGUCGUCAGCUCGUGCUGUGAAGUGUCGGGUUAAGUCCCAUAACGAGCGCAACCCCCCAUUUCUAGUUGCCAGCGGUUCGGCCGGGGACUCUAGAGAAACUGCCAGCGUAAGCUGUGAGGAAGGUGGGGAUGACGUCAAAUCAUCACGGCCCUUACAUCCUGGGCCACACACGUGCUACAAUGGUGGGGACAACAGGUUGCCAACCCGCGAGGGUGAGCCAAUCCCAAAACCCCAUCUCAGUUCGGAUCGGAGUCUGCAACUCGACUCCGUGAAGUUGGAAUCGCUAGUAAUCGCGGAUC